AGUGUCUUUUGGGGAGCCCGCGCUGCCUGGGAGGUAAGGGAGAGGUCCGAAUGCCGUCGCAGACAGCCUGAUGGUUUGCUGAAGGAGUCUGGAUCCUUUUCAAGUCCCAGUGAAGCCUGGUGAUAUGGCCUUGGGCAAGUCAGUGGCUCUCUCUGCCUCAGUCUCCUCAACUGUAGCUGGGGGUAACAGUGAGACCCGCCUCAACGUGGUUGUGAGGAGGGUGGGGGGUGGGGGAUGUGGAGAAAGUGCUAAGAACAGCGUCUGUGGGGCCGCAGAAGUGUUUUGCAUAAUGUCACCAAGAUUAGUGCUAUUUCUUCCCCAGAAGAUCAGAUGGAGACUCACGGAAGGUUUUUAACCUGUGGGGACGUGCGGCCAAAUUGUGCUUUAGGAAGCUUAUGCUGGCAGUGAUGUGUGGCCCAGGCCCUUCCUAAUCUCCAGCUCCACCAGCUUCAAGGCAGAAUCUGAAUCCACACAGAGUCUGAGGUAUCUUGGAAACCCUCUCCUUCCCUCUUGGAUGUGUGGACUGUCAGACAUUGUGAAGAGGAGAAGAGGAAGAGGAAAGACGCUGCCCCCAGUAUGCAGACAGAGAGCACCCCGUUCCAGAGAGGCCAGCGCUCCAGGAGUGACAGCUGCUAAUGCCCUUCUUCCUUCAGUCUCCCUGCCCCAGCUACCCUCUCCCUCCCUCCUCUCCCUCCUUCCCUUUCUUCCCGCAGCAAAACACACGGAGCCCAGUGAUCUGCAGGCACAGUGCCGGGCCCUAGCGCUCCAUGGGCACAAGUGACAGCUGUGGCCGAGGUCGGGGAGGGUGCUGGACUGGAAGCCUUGGGAGGCUCUGAGCACACAGGAUUUGGGGCUGAUACUAUUGAGGGUCAGAGGCUGCUGGACUGGGUUGUAAAGCAUCUGAGGCUUUGAAGACCAUUUGGAUAAUUGGGUGUUGCAGGCUCAGGGUGAGUUUGGGGCUUCCUGGAGACUUUGGGGUGCAGAGUAGCCCCUUCCCAGGCCGGCUCUCUGCCUGCCUUUGGACCUGGGAUGUUUCUGCUGGGAAGCAAGUGGACUGGUGCCUUGGAGAGGAUGCCUGUGGGGAGGGGCUGGACUGCUCACAGGGCCUCCUGAUCCUCGUUUCUCAGUGUCACUGAUGUUCAAUUCUGAAAGUUCUGCCUUUAGAGUUAUCUCAAUAGCCCAAUGUGCCUCCUUCCUGGCAUGGUUGUCCAGGGGCAGACACCCUUCUGGGGUUGGCCUGUUUGGGAGAAGCCUGAGAUCUGCAGAGAAGUCUGCCAGGCGGCCUGGGACUAAAAGCUGCAGAAGGUGGGGCAUGAGGAAGCAGUGGGCAGGCAGAAGGAGUGGGCAGGUGGUCUGCUGCUGCCUCGGGGAUGCAGCUUGAGCUGGACUUUCUGCCUGGCUCCGUCUUGUCACCGAGUUCGCAGCAUAAACGUCAUCCCUCAGAGACGCUGACUCGAUCUCUAAUAAAAGCUAUCAGCCUGUCCCCCUUUACUACGAGACCCCUCUUAGCUCUGCAGAGCAUCCAUCACAGUUAGGCAUUUUUGCCUUUUUUUCCAUCCACCCACGCUUCCCACCCCACCAGGACGUGAGCUUGGACUUCAUCUUGUCAUCCCAGCAGCAAGGAGUCGAUUUUGCAGGAUGGAUGGAAAACACAGAGAGGACCAGCUGUUUCAUUUCUAGGCACCUCACUUCUAACCUGGAACCGGUUCCGAGAGGAAGGACCAGGAAGACCCAUGUGUCGGGAAUGGUGGACAGAAGGAGUGUGCUCAGCUGCCGCCGAGAAGACCACACGCUGGGUGCUGAAAAGAUGGGGGGACCUGCUAGGAACCAUGGCCCUGGGCUAAGUCGGGGAUGAAGGCGGGAGCUGCUGUGCUGGACUGCAGCUCAGCACAGAGACAGUGAGCCUAGAUUGCAGAGCUGCCCAGGGAGGGAUGUCACCUUGGGGGAUGGAGGCUGCAGGUGCUCCUCAGACCUUAGGGAAACAUUUGGGAGGGAGCUUGUUGAGGAGAUACAGGCACCUCAGGGUGGCUGGGCUGGAUGGACUUUGAUGACCCUUCCUUUUUUGAGACCUGAUGGUUCUCUAAUUUGGGAAUCAUUUCCAAAGAUGGGUCUAAAAAUCCUUGUUUCAUUGGAAAUAAUGAGUUUGCUAUGAUGCUUAAGACCAAGCAUGUCACCAUUUGUUAUUACUGCACUUUUCCCUGCCGUUUUCCUUUCCUUUUAUUUUUAAUGGAUGAUGUUAGGUUGCAAUGACAUUUUGUUUCUAUAUAAAUAUUUAAAGGUCUUCAUAAACAUAUAAAUGUCUUCAUACAUUUUUGUUUGCUUCUAGAACAAUGUGUAUCCUACUAUUGUAUUUUUGCUACAGUAUAUGAACGUGGAGGUGUGCAUAAGACAGUAAAACACUAUUCACCAAAAGAUAAAAAAGAGAUAUUUGCAGGAUGUGGAAUUAUGAACAUUUUUUUGUUUUUAUAUGUUUUCUAAUUUUGCUUCAACAAGCACAUACCUGUUUUUACAAAAGAAGAAAAACAGAUGAUGAAUAACAUAGGUGCAUCAUUUAUAUCCACGAUGAGCCAGAGCCAGCUCCUGACUCAUGAGACUGACUUUGUGAGCUCUUCACUGCUGCAGGGAUACAGCUGCAUGAAAUACAAUGAAUCAGCUGUAUCACGUUGGCAACUUGAAACUGGCCCUGGUGGUAGUAUUUACACCACAGCAAUUGGCAAAUGCUACAAAUCAGGUCCUUUUUCCCUUGGAAAGCUGGUUGUUAACCAUGUACCAGUCCACCGCUAUUUAUAUUAUUCAUCAAUCAGUAAAAAAUAUUUAAGCAGUAGAGGGGUAUGGGGUAUGGUUUUCAAAAUCCGUAAAUGACAUGAAAAAUAAUUUGUUUUCGAGUUUUCCAUAACUACAGAGCUUUACAGUUUCUAUUCCUCCCUCACAUACAUGAUCUCAUUUAAUCCUUAGGACAAUGCUAAAAUAUUCUUAUUUUAUAGAUGAAAUACUUAUUUCAGAUUUUAUGACAGGUAAACUCUGGUAGAAUUGGAUUGUUCUAGAUGAACUGGAUGUUCUACUAGAACAUCCACAUUGACUUUGAGAAAUUCGGAAUGCCUCUAAAAGCCACCUAGAACUGGAGUUUUCGUCUUUUCUGAGAGUUUUAAAUGUGUAGGAGAACUUUUUGAAAAUCCUCCAUCAGUAUAAAAUCAUUUCAAUUGUGUUUCAUGAGGCUGCAGUUGUGUAAUUUUGACAUUUCUUUCUCAGUGUCCACCCCUUCUCCGCUCAGCCUAGCACCAUGUGCAUCCCACCCUCGUUCCUUCAAGACCUUUCCUGUGGCCUGAUUGAUUGUGCUAAGGGCCCAGUUUGGUCUGGACAGGAAGACAACAGAAGGGAGUGAGGUCAGAGGGGACCGUUGGAUGGAGGGUUGGAAUGUGAAAAGGGGUCACCAGCAGAUUUCAACACAGGUACUUUUUGCCUGGAGCAUUUAGGACCUGAUGCAUUCCAAAUAAACAAUAGGUUUUUGCUUUUGUUUUUGUUUUUUUGAGACACGGUCUCUCUCUGUUGCCCAUGCUGGAGUGCAGUGGCACAUUCCUAGCUCUCUGCAGCCUCAAACUCCUGGGCUCAAGCAAUCCUCCCACCUAGGGCUCUUGCGUACACAGGACUGCAGGUGCACACCACCAAGCCCAGCUAGUUGUUUCUUUUUUUCUUUCUUUUUUUUUGUUUUUGAGAUGGAGUCUCAUUCUGUCACUCAGGCUAGAGAGCAGUGGCACAGUCUUGGCUCACUGCAACCUCCUCCUCCCGGAUUCAAGUGAUUCUUGUACCUCAGCCUCCUGUGCAGCUGGGAUUACAGGCCGGUUCAUUUUUGUAUUUUUAGUAGAGAUGGGGUUUUGCCAUGUUGGCCAGGCUGGUCUUGAACUCCUGACCUCAGGUGAUCCACCCGCCUCAGCCUCCCAAAGUGCUUGGAUUACAGGUGUGAACCACCGCGCCCGGCCUUGUUUCUUUUUUUUUUUUUUUUUUUUGUAGAGAUAGAGUCUUGCUAUGUUUCCUUUGCUGGUCUUAAACUUCUAGGCUCAAGGGAUCCUCCUGCUUUGGCCUCCCAAAAUGCUGGGAUUAUGGACCUAAGCCACCCUGCCAGGUCCAAAUUUGAUGUCCAAAUGCAAACAAUCCCAGUGACUGAAAAUAAACCAACAAUGUAUUUGGAAAAAUUAGUAUGAUACACAAUUUAGGAUAAAAUGUUUGGGAAGAAAUAAGCAAAAGUUGAGGAUAUGUUGCUGUCAUUUGUGAUGUUGGCAUGAAUAUCAUGGUGGGUCUCAUUUUGAGUCCCUUUAAAAGCCACUUUGUUAUUUUUAUGCUUCUGAUACUUAGAUUCCCAGAGAAAUAGUCAUCUACUGUAUUUUAGAAAGUAGAGUGGAAAUUUAUCUUAAACUACAGAGGAGAAAAAGGUCAAACUUCAGUAUUUUGAGUUAAAUGUACACAUUCAUUCAGUAAAUGUGUUUGGAUAACUGUUGCGAAGGCUCUGAUGAUGUGAUAUGAACAGGACAGAAAUGGUCUCUGUCCAUGCAGAACUUACCGUUCACUGGUGAGGGGGCCGUGGGUUGAAGGGGGUCUCCAAAAGGGUAUGUCCAGGCUCUAACACCCAGUCAUGUGAAUGGGCCCUUAUUUAGAAAUAGGGUCUUUGCAGAUGUAAUUAAGGAUCUCGAGGGGAGAUCAGCUGGAUUUAGGGUGGGCCGGAAAUCCACUGACUGUUGUCCUAAGAGAAGGGGACACAAACACAGAGACCCAGAGACCGCGGUCAUGUGAAGACGGAGGCAGAGACUGCACGGAGGGGUCCUGGCUGCCCUGGAUGAUCAGAGAGAUGUGGAGGGAUUCUCCCUCAGGGCCCUGCCUGUUGCAGGUGGUUAAUCAGGCACCAGCCGGGCAGCAGAGGGCUCCCCUGCCACCCACCAGGAAUGUCAGGGGAUCAUCGGGUGAGAGUUCAGCAGUUAUCCCACCGCCUAUCUAAAAACAAUCAUUGAUCACAGGCUCCAGGGAGAGGUGAUUCCCCAAACAGAUAAAAAGUCUCGAGAUGUGUAAUCGGCUUCCAACAAAGUCUCAGAAAUGGGGCGAGUAGGCUCGGGGAUGGGCAUUAAGAGACAAAACGGAGGAGUACGGCCUUUGAGGGCACUCCACUGGAAAAGGGAAGAAAGUCUCAGGGAGGGACACCCACCACUUCCUAAACUCAGGGCUCGGUGUUGGCCUCCCGGGGCUGAGGAGGGCACCGCGUGUGCAGGCGGCCCACCCUGAGGGAAAAAGCACGGAAGAGGAACGGGACCCCGGAAGGAUGCCAAUGUUUCCAGCCCCAAAUCCAAAGGUCAAAGGCUGCACUCGUCCUUCCAGGGGUCCGCUUGGGUCUCUUCCAGUUGUUCUUCCCUUUGUUUCCUGCUCCAGAGCUUUUUAAUAAACUUCCACCGCUGCUCUGAA
rnacentral:lncRNA from 1 species